AGGUAUAGUUCACAUGUGAUUCAGUCUCUCUAUCAUGAGUUCUGACUAGAUAGUAGGUCAUGGAUUAAUCAUCAAAUCUUAUCAUCAGUCAUAUGAUAGAUUUGAUCAUCUCAAGUCUAAUUCUGAUCCUUGUAAAAACUAUUUUCUAUUAACCACACUGCUGUGGUCAAGACUCUCGAACUUAUCCUCUCCAAUCUCAUAGGACUAUUCUUCUCUAUCAAGAUAGAUAGAUUUCAUCUUGAUGCGCAUCCUACUUCUAUAGUGGACUAACUAUCGUCAACCUUCACUACCAGGGCUCAUUGAGAUCAUAUUUAUGUGUCAGUCAAACUCCAACAGCCUCACAGCAAGCAGUCAUAGCAUUGCAGGUCAAAAGACCAUUUAAAUAACUACAGCAUCGAGAUAAUCACUGAUGAUCGAGUAAAAAUUUAAGUAAUCUCUCGUAUGGUCAUACUUAGUACUAGUUGUUCGCU
rnacentral:lncRNA from 1 species